rnacentral:lncRNA from 1 species
UUCUUCUUUUGCUAUAUUUCUUGGAUACCUAAUAGGAUAGACACAACAUUAAUAGAAAAGUAAGUAACAAGUAUCAAAAUAGCCAUUUUCAAAUUAUUUCAAUUACAAGAAUACAUCAAACAUAUAUGCAAUUUGUAGAUAUCAUAUCUCUAGCAUUAAUCUUCAAGCACUGCCCUCUAACAGGACCCCAAAAUUGCCAAUACCUCUAUCUCAAACCUAUGAUAGAAAAAACAAACCAUGUUAACAAAGAGAAAACUCAAAUUGAGAAAUUAGAUAUCUAACUACAAUUAUACAUUUUUAAGAAUGAAUUCUAAGUUUAAUUAUUGUGCUUUUUAUAUUAUGGACCUAAAUAAUUAUAAAAAUAUACUUCUUUUUAGUUUCUAAAAGGAAUGCAAAAAGGAAAAGAGAAAAAGAAAGUUCCAAAUAUAUCUUUCAUGUUAUUUUGUUUUUAAAUAGAUAAAAACUCACAUUAUCCAAGAAAUAAUUGAAAUUAAAGUUGAGCAGAAAUUUUAAUUAUCUCAAUCAUAAAUAAUGAAAUAUCUAAAUUCAAAUUCAUAGAAAUCAUACUCACUAGUAAUUUCAUGCACCAAAGGAACCCAAGUAAAAAAUUCAAGUGCAUAAAUAAAUAAAAUUAAAUAAUUAACCAUAUUAAAGAGAAAACCAUAUCACAUUAUGAAAAUUGUUUUUGUGUGCCCAAAUAUAUAGUUCUGUUUCUUCAAAUUGAAUUAAAAAUCCAAUGGUAUCCUUGUACACCUGUAAAGGAAAUAGUAGAGAUAAAAGUGCAAUCUACUCAUAAUUAUUUCAAUUAACACAUCCAAAUAUUAUAGAUCAACAUAGAAAUCAAUUUAAAGAAAAUGAAACAUCAGCCUUUACUAGCAAAAAACAAAAACAAAAGUUUAAAAAAGAACUCAUUAGAUAUCACAUUAUUUUUGGCACAACAAAAAUGAGACACACAAUUGCAUUAACCAUUGAUGCCUAUAAACUUAAUUUGAAACAUAAAAAUGAAAUUGAACAUGAAUUUCAAGUUUCAAAAUUGUGAACCAAAUAAACAUUUUGCUUGCUUACAAUAAAAUGUUAGAAAAGAAUGGGAAAAAAAAAAAAUUUAAAAUGGGAUAUUCCAAGAUUUUUUAUUUUUUAUUAUUUUUUUUUGUAGUUAUCUUCCUUAGUUUUUCUAUAAUCAAAGAGAGUAAAAGGGGGAAAGAUAAAGUGAGAGCUAAUAGAGAAGAUAACAGAGUAAAAUUCACCAAUACAUGAACAUUGUGAAAUCUUAGAAAAUAACAAACUAAAAGAACAAAUUCAAAGAAUAGGAUAUUCAAAGCUCUCACUUUAUUAGUUCUCUUUUCUUGUUGUUUCUCCACAAGCAAAUACAUAGUUGGUGGCAAUGUGCUAAGGUGCGGUGGUGGAAGUCUGUGAAAGGAAGAAGGGUGAUGAGUAAUGGUGGUAAUCGUGCGAACAUGGGAAUGACGACCAUAGGUGGCGAAUGGAAAGGAGGUGUGGUGAAGCUAAUAUGGGUGGCGAUAAGUGACUGUCAAUGAUGGGUAACAAGAAUGAUGGCAAUAAGGGUCACCAUAGUGGGAUGGUGGAAAUGGGGCCUGGUUGAUGGUGGUUGGUGUAGCCGAUGAUGAAGGAUGGCAUGGUGAAGAUGGGAAGGCGAGAGGGAGAAAGAGG